GACGAACGCUGGCGGCGUGCCUAAUACAUGCAAGUAGAACGCACAGUUUAUACCGUAGCUUGCUACACCAUAGACUGUGAGUUGCGAACGGGUGAGUAACGCGUAGGUAACCUGCCUGGUAGCGGGGGAUAACUAUUGGAAACGAUAGCUAAUACCGCAUAAUAUUAAUUAUUGCAUGAUAAUUAAUUGAAAGGUGCAAUUGCACCACUACCAGAUGGACCUGCGUUGUAUUAGCUAGUAGGUGAGGUAACGGCUCACCUAGGCGACGAUACAUAGCCGACCUGAGAGGGUGGUCGGCCACACUGGGACGGAGACACGGCCCAGACUCCUACGGGAGGCAGCAGUAGGGAAUCUUCGGCAAUGGACGAAAGUCUGACCGAGCAACGCCGCGUGAGUGAAGAAGGUUUUCGGAUCGUAAAGCUCUGUUGUAAGAGAAGAACGGGUGUGAGAGUGGAAAGUUCACACUGUGACGGUAUCUUACCAGAAAGGGACGGCUAACUACGUG
rnacentral:rRNA from 1 species